rnacentral:ncRNA from 1 species
AUUAGAGGAAGCAGCGUGCUGUAACCAUUCUCGAAAGGGAUUGGCAACCCCUUGAAAGUCCUCCGUGAUUGGAAUCGGGAAUUGCAAUUAUUUCCCUUGAAC